UACGGAGGGUGCGAGCGUUGUCCGGAAUCAUUGGGCGUAAAGGGCGCGUAGGUGGCGGCUUAAGCGUGCGGUGAAAGCUCGGGGCUCAACCCCGAGUCGGCCGUGCGAACUGAGUCGCUUGAGCACUGUAGAGGCAGGCGGGAAUUCCGGGUGUAGCGGUGGAAUGCGCAGAUAUCAGGAGGAACACCAGUGGCGAAGGCGGUUCUCUGGGCCUUACCUGACGCUGAGGAGCGAAAGCGUGGGGAGCAAACAGG
rnacentral:rRNA from 1 species